rnacentral:lncRNA from 10 species
GGUUUCACCAUGUUGGCCAGGCUGCUCUGGAACUCCUGACCUCAGGUGAUCUGCCCGCCUUGGCCUCCCGAAGUGCUGAGAUUACAGGCAUGAGCCACUGUGCCCAGCCUUGCUGCUGAUAUUCUUAUACAUGUCUCUUGGUACACAUAUAGAAAUUUUCCCUAGCGUAUGGACUUACUGGAUCACAGGAUAUGCACACCUUCAACUUUAUUAGGUAUUGUCCAGUUUUCCCAAGCAUUUGGACUGGUUUAUACUUCCACCAUCAGUGCAAGUGUCGUCUCCACAAAGGCGCUCCUUCUUGCUUCCUCCUAGUAUAAGUAGCUGUUAUGCCACUUAUGAAGAAAUGUUUGUUAGACAAAUGAAUCACAGUCACUAGACUGGGAUAAUUUCCUAUUUUAAAAUUCUUCCCUCUUGAUUUUUCUUUCUUUUCUAUAUUGUAGAAGAACCCAGCAAGUCCCUAUAACCUUGCAUAUAAGUAUAAUUUUGAAUAUUCCGUGGUUUUCAACAUGGUACUUUGGAUAAUGAUCGCCUUGGCCUUGGCUGU